rnacentral:rRNA from 1 species
AUUGAACGCUGGCGGCAGGCCUAACACAUGCAAGUAGAACGAGCGGCGGACGGGUGAGUAAUGUAUGGGAAUCUGCCUGAUGGAGGGGGAUAACUACUGGAAACGGUAGCUAAUACCGCAUACCAUAAGAUGAACCCAUAUGGGAUUAGCUGGUUGGUAGGGUAACGGCUGACCAAGGCGAAGAUCCCUAGCUGGUCUGAGAGGAUGACCAGCAAAACUGGAACUUGUACACGGCCCAGACUCCUACGGGAGGCAGCAGUGGGGAAUAUUGCACAAUGGGCGCAAGCCGGAGGCAGCCAUGCCGCGUGUAUGAAGAGGGCCUUCGGGUUGUAAAGUACUUGCAGUCGGGAGGCGUUACCUACAGAAGAAGCACCGGCUAACUCCGUGCCAGCCGCCGCGGUAAUAC